rnacentral:tRNA from 1 species
AUUAGAUUAUGAUUUAUCUCA